AACGAACGCUGGCGGCAGGCUUAACACAUGUAAGUCGAACGCAUCCUUCGGGGUGAGUGGCAGACGGGUGAGUAACGCGUGGGAACGUGCCCUUCAGUUCGGGAUAACCUAGGGAAACUUGGGCUAAUACCGGAUACGUGCGAGAGCAGAAAGAUUUAUCGCUGAACGAUAGGACCGCGUCUGAUUAGCUAGUUGGUGGAGUAAUGGCCCACCUAGGCGACGAUCAGUUUCUGGUCUGAGAGGAUGAUUAGCCACAUUGGGACUGAGAAACGGCCCAAACUCGUACGGGAGGCAGCAGUGGGGAAUAUUGCACGAUGGGCGCAAGCCUGAUCCAGCCAUGCCGCGUGAGUGAUGAAGGCCUUAGGGUUGUAAAGCUCUUUCGUCUGAGACGAUAAUGACGGUACCGGAAAAAGAAGCCCCGUCUAACUUCGUGCCAGCAGCCGCAGUAA
rnacentral:rRNA from 1 species